rfam:Picea glauca, whole genome shotgun sequence.
UACCGUGUUGAUCCUACCAGUAGUCAUAUGCUUGUCUCAAAUAUUAAGCCAUGCAUAUCUAAGUAUGAACUAAUUCAGACUUUGAAACUGCGGAUGGCUCAUUAAAUCAGUUAUAGUUUCUUUGAUGGUACCCUACUACUCAGAUAAUUGUAGUAAUUCUAGAGCUAAUACGUGCACUAAGUCCCGAAUCUUUGGAAGGGAUGCAUUUAUUAGAUAAAAGGCCAGAAGAGGCUUGCCCGCUUCUCUGGUGAAUCAUGAUAACUCGACGGAUCGCACAACCCUUGUGCUGGCGAUGCUUAAUUCAAAUUUCUUCCCUAUGAACUUUCAAUGGUAGGAUAGAGGCCUACCAUGGUGGUGAUGGGUGAUAGAGAAUUAGGGUUCUAUUUCACAAAGGGAGCCUGAGAAACGACUACCACAUCUAAGGAAGGCAGCCGACGCGCAAAUUACCCAAUCCUGACAUGGGGAGGUAGUGACAAUAAAUAACAAUACUGGGCUCAUCAAGUUUUGUAAUUGGAAUGAGUACAAUCUAAAUCCCUUAAUGAGGAUCCAUUGGAGGGAAAGAUUGGUGCCAUCAGCCAUUGUAAUUCCAGCUCCAAUAACGUAUAUUUAAGUUGUUGUAGUUAAAAAUCUCGUAGUUGGAUCUUGGGUCGUAAAGGUCGGUCAACCUACUCGGUGUGCACAUGCCCUUCCAUCCAUUUUGUCAGUGGCAUGCUCAUGGCCUUAAUUGGCUGGGUUGUGGUUCCGGUGUUGUUACUUUGAAAAAAUUAGAGUGCUCAAAGAAAGCUUAUGCUCUGAAUACAUUAGCAUGGAAUAAUGCGAUAGGAGUCUUGUCCUAUUGUGUUGGCCUUCGGGACCAGAGUAAUGAUUAAUAGAGACUGUCAGGGGCAUUCGUAUUUCAUUGUCAGAGGUGAAAUUAUUGGAUUUAUGAAAGACAAACCACUGCAUAAGCAUUUGCCAAGGAUGUUUUCAUUAAUCAAGAACAAAAGUUGGGGGCUCAAAGAUGAUCAGAUACCAUCCUAGUCUCAACCAUAAAUGAUGCCAACCAGGGAUCUCUAGAUGUUUCUCUAAGGACUCCGCCAACACCUUCUGAGAAAUCAGACUGUUUGGGUUCUGAGGGGAGUAUGGUCGCAAGGCUGAAACUUAAAGGAAUUAACGGAAGGGCACCACCAGGAGUGGAGCCUGCGGCUUAAUUUGAAUCAACACGGGAAAACUUACCAGGUCCAGACAUAGUAAGGAUUGAUAGAUUGAGAGAUCUUUAUUGAUUCUAUGGGUGGUGGUGCAUGGCCGUUCUUAGUUGGUGGAGCGAUUUUUAUGGUUAAUUUCGAUAAUGAACGAGACUGUUAUCACUAAAAUUUCAUUCGCACAUGGUUACAAGAACUCAGCAUCGUCAAUCAGUGAUGAAUUCAUCCAUGGACCUGAAUUAACACCAAAGCAUUCAUAAAGGGUCAAAAACUAUACAAAGUAGUGAAAAAUUGAAGGGUGCUAUGAAGACACUGGGUGCCCGUGCACAUGCGUGGAACAAAAAUGCAGAAAUCGUGCACAUGCGCACGAUGUAUGAUUGUUAUCGCAAAAAGCCGUGCACCUGAGAAACGAUGCAUUUAUGAGAGUGGUUGGCCUCCCACCCACUUAUGGUUCAGUUCCCAAGUCGAUUUGACACUCAAAUCUAGACUGGAUUCGACUGGAUGGCUGGUCAAAGACCUAUAAAUGCCUUAAUUAGCCUCUUUUCAAACUAAAAACUAGUUGAACAAUAGCUCAAAGGAAUGCUAUAAAAAUUCCAUGGAUACACUUCAUUUUUCAAGGAAUUCAAAGCAAAGUUAUGCUUCCAUUAUUCUCUUGAGGACUCUAUCCUUUCCAAGAGUAUAUUUGCACCAUUGCAUUGGGCAAUCCAUCUCACCCCU